AAUUUACUAUUUAUAAAUAAUUAAAUAAAAUAUUAAGAAGAAAUUAAAAUAAUUUUUAGUAUUAAAAAUAAAGAAAAGAAAAGAAAAAGAAAAUGAUUUCACCAUUUAAAUUUCUUGUUGUAAUGGUGUCCAUUGUAAUUGGUUUCGUUUUUUGUACAUAUUUAUGGUUAUGCUGUUUUCGUAAAAAAUCUACAAAAGAAGAAGGUUCACAUAUUCCACCUGAUACCCCACCGUCUCACAACGAUAGUACGAUAUCUGAAAAUAAUAAAGCGUUUUUAGCCACCGAUUAUUUACAACCAAUAAAUGCACUUGCCAAUAUAUCAAUUAUAUGAUUCUUUAUACAUUUAUUUAUUAAUAUUAAAAAUAAUAUAAAUGUAAAUCUAUAAUAUAAGUAUAUAAGUAAUUAUUUACAAAAAAAAAAAACAAA